GGGCCCGCACAAGCGGUGGAGCAUGUGGUUUAAUUCGAUGCAACGCGAAGAACCUUACCAGGGCUUGACAUACUACAGAUUCUUUAGAGAUAGAGAAGUGCCUUCGGGAAUGUAGAUACAGGUGGUGCAUGGCUGUCGUCAGCUCGUGUCGUGAGAUGUUGGGUUAAGUCCCGCAACGAGCGCAACCCUUAUUUUUAGUUGCCAUCACGUUUGGGUGGGCACUCUAGGGAAACUGCCGGUGCUAAGCCGGAGGAAGGCGGGGAUGACGUCAAGUCCUCAUGGCCCUUACGGGUAGGGCUACACACGUGCUACAAUGGCAGUGACAAUGGGAUAAUCCCCAAAAGCUGUCUCAGUUCGGAUUGUCGGCUGCAACUCGCCGGCAUG
rnacentral:rRNA from 1 species